rnacentral:lncRNA from 1 species
CCUGGCUCCGUGCUCCAGGUGCUGCUGUGCACAGAACCGUGUGGAAAAGAACUGUUCUGUGCCAGGUGUGAGAAUUGCAAAAUCUCUAAAGCUGGAAAUAAAAUGGAAAAGAUUUGCAGUGCCCGUUGGAGAGGUGAAGACUUAUAGCACUUUGCACCAAAGACUGCUAUUUUAAGGGUUGUCAAAAGCACUGUGGAAGUGACAAAGGUAAGGCUGA